UACGUAGGGUGCAAGCGUUAAUCGGAAUUACUGGGCGUAAAGCGUGCGCAGGCGGUUCUAUAAGACAGAUGUGAAAUCCCCGGGCUCAACCUGGGAACUGCAUUUGUGACUGUAGAGCUGGAGUGCGGCAGAGGGGGAUGGAAUUCCGCGUGUAGCAGUGAAAUGCGUAGAUAUGCGGAGGAACACCGAUGGCGAAGGCAAUCCCCUGGGCUGACACUGACGCUCAGGCACGAAAGCGUGGGGAGCAAACAGG
rnacentral:rRNA from 1 species